rnacentral:rRNA from 1 species
GUGGGGAAUAUUGGGCAAUGGGCGCAAGCCUGACCCAGCAACGCCGCGUGAGGGAAGAAGGCCUUCGGGUUGUAAACCUCUGUCCUUGGUGACGAAACAAAUGACGGUAGCCAAGGAGGAAGCCCCGGCUAACUACGUGCCAGCAGCCGCGGUAAUACGUAGGGGGCGAGCGUUGUCCGGAAUUACUGGGCGUAAAGGGUGCGUAGGUGGCCUUUUAAGUUGGAUGUGAAAUACCCGGGCUUAACUUGGGGGGUGCAUCUAAUACUGGGAGGCUAGAGUGCAGGAGAGGGAAGCGGAAUUCCUAGUGUAGCGGUGAAAUGCGUAGAGAUUUGGAAGAACACCAGUGGCGAAGGCGACUUUCUGGACGAUGUCUGACGCUGAGGCGCGAAAGCUAGGGGAGCGAACGGGAUUAGAUACCCCGGUAGUCC